rnacentral:rRNA from 1 species
GACGAACCGAGCGAACGUUAUUCGGAAUCACUGGGCUUAAAGGGCGCGUAGGCGGGCCCGAAAGUCAGGGGUGAAAUCCCACGGCUCAACCGUGGAAGUGCCUCUGAUACUUCAGGCCUCGAGGGAGGUAGGGCGUGCGGAACUUCCGGUGGAGCGGUGAAAUGCGUAGAUAUCGGAAGGAACGUCGGUGGCGAAAGCGGCGCGCUGGACCUCUUCUGACGCUGAUGCGCGAAAGCCAGGGAGCGAACGGG